rnacentral:tRNA from 1 species
GCGCCAAUGGUGUAGUGGUAACAUGUUUGCUUCCCAAGCAAACGCCCGGGGUUCGAUUCCCCGUUGGCGCA